rnacentral:rRNA from 1 species
AGAGUUUGAUCCUGGCUCAGAUUGAACGCUGGCGGCACGCUUAACACAUGCAAGUCGAACGGUAACAGGAGAAAGCUUGCUUUCUUGCUGACGAGUGGCGGACGGGUGAGUAACGCGUAGGAAUCUACCCAAUAGCGGGGGAUAGCCCGGAGAAAUCCGGAUUAAUACCGCAUAUUCCUUACGAGGUAAAGAGGGCCUCUUCUUGAAAGCUCUCACUAUUGGAUGAGCCUGCGUCGGAUUAGCUAGUUGGUAGGGUAAAGGCCUACCAAGGCAACGAUCCGUAGCUGGUUUGAGAGGACGAUCAGCCACACUGGGACUGAGACACGGCCCAGACUCCUACGGGAGGCAGCAGUGGGGAAUCUUGGACAAUGGGGGGAACCCUGAUCCAGCGAUGCCGCGUGUGUGAAGAAGGCCUACGGGUUGUAAAGCACUUUUAAUAAGGAAGAUGCGUAUAUAUGUUAAUAUCAUAUGUGUGUGACAUUACUUAUAGAAUAAGCACCGGCUAACUCCGUGCCAGCGGCCGCGGUAAUACGGAGGGUGCGAGCGUUAAUCGGAUUGACUGGGCGUAAAGAGCAUGUAGGCGGUUAAUCAAGUUAGAUGUGAAAUACCAGAGCUUAACUUUGGGACUGCAUUUAAUACUGAUCAACUAGAGUUUAGGAGAGGGAAGUGGAAUUUCCGGUGUAGCGGUGAAAUGCGUAGAUAUCGGAAGGAACAUCAGUGGCGAAGGCGACUUUCUGGCCUAAAACUGACGCUAAAGAGCAAAAGCGUGGGGAGAAAACAGGAUUAGAUACCCUGGUAGUCCACGCCGUAAACGAUGAGAACUAGCUGUUGGGAAGCGACGUCUUCUUAGUAGCGUAGCUAGCGCGAUAAGUUCUCCGCCUGGGGAUUACGGCCGCAAGGCUAAAACUCAAAGGAAUUGACGGGGGCCCGCACAAGCGGUGGAUCAUGUGGUUUAAUUCGAUGCAACGCGAAGAACCUUACCUACUCUUGACAUCCUGCGAAGAUUGAAGAGAUUCGAUUGUGCCCGAAAGGGAGCGCAGUGACAGGUGCUGCAUGGUUGUCGUCAGCUCGUGUUGUGAAAUGUUGGGUUAAGUCCCGUAACGAGCGCAACCCCUAUACUUAGUUGCCAGCACGUAAUGGUGGGAACUCUAAGUAGACUGCCGGUAAUAAACCGGAGGAAGGUGGGGACGACGUCAAAUCAUCAUGGCCUUUAUGAGUAGGGCUACACACGUGAUACAAUGGUAACUACAGAGGGAUGCAAACCCAUGAGGGGGAGCGGAACCCAAAAAAGUUAUCGUAGUCCGGAUUGAAGUCUGAAACUCGACUUCAUGAAGUAGGAAUCGCUAGUAAUCGCGAAUCAGAAUGUCGCGGUGAAUACGUUCCCGGGCCUUGUACACACCGCCCGUCACACCAUGGGAGUGGGUUAUACCAGAAGUGGCUAGUCUAACCUUCGGGAGGACGGUCACCA